AUCAUGGGCCUCUCACCGUCUGCCCCGGGGCUUCCCUGUUGUGGAAGAUCAAGGCGCCGUGGGACCCACUACCUAAGCAGGUUUCUUGCCACAGGAAGGUAGAAUGUUAAGGAAGAGAUACUUUGCUUUGGAAACAAACCCCACAAUCAAACACCCCUAGGAAAAGGAUCUGGGCCAGGAGGAAGACAAGGAGGGAGCCAUGUGGUUUGGAGGCUGGGUGCGGUUUAGAAUGUUCCAGUUAAACGGUCCUUUGCGGCCAGAGGGACAGGUGAUGAGCCAGGCACCUGGACCCGCAGCAGAACAAGACCAUCAUGCCACCUGACUGCUCAAGUCCUUCCAGAGAGCAGGGCUGAAAAUCACUUGAGCCAGGCUCGUAUUGCUCCUGCAUCCCACAGGCUGAGUUCCAAGGGAAGUGGUCCUCUCCUGUCCUGAGUGGUCAUCUCUUGUCCUGAGUGGUCAUCUCCUGUCCUGAGUGGUCAUCUCCUGUCCUGCUCACCUGCUCUGUGACUAACUAAGAUGAAGGAGACUUCAUUGGUC
rnacentral:lncRNA from 1 species